UCGGCCGUACCAUGCUGAAUAUACCGGUUCUCGUUAGAUCACCGAAGUCAAGCAUCAUUGGGCGCGGUCAGUACUUGGGUGGGUGACCACCUGGGAACACCGCGUGCAGU